AGCUAGUGUUCAGUUACGAGGGAGUGGGUUUUGGCUGAAAUAACAAAAAUACAAAUGAAUUUCAGUACGACCCACACACUCACCUUUGUGUAUGUAUACAUGCUCGUAAGCAGCUGAUAAAUUGUUUGAUGCCAUAUUAUUUUUUUGUAUGUAAAUGGCUGAAUUUUGACCAAAAAAAUUAAAUGUGGUAACCUUGGCAAACCACCGAAAGAACGAUUUUCGGAAAUUUUUCCGUAAAAAAGAACGUAGUAACAGCCUUUAGAAGACGCCAAGAAAAGAGCAAUUAUCGGUUUCUUAAGUGUUUUGAUGGAAUCGUCUUCUACGGAGAGCUACGAUGAAAUUAACACCGUUCCUUUGAAUUUGUUGAGGAGGGAAAAUGCUGCGAUGGGAUUGAGUGGGUCUAGCUGGGCAGUUAAACAAGCGACGCACAGUGCAAAUUAGUCUGCCAAUUGUGAAAGGAUACAGAUAUUUUCAAUGAUAACAAAGUGUUCGUAGCCGCCACAUGACCAAGUAGAAAACUCCCUUAGACACACAUCAGUGGUCGUAGCAUUUUAUCUAGCCACAAUAUCCAAAUGCAUUAGAUGGUUAAUGUUGUUGUUGUUGUAGCA